ACUCAAAUGAAUAGACGGGGACCCGCACAAGCGGUGGAGCAUGUGGUUCAAUUCGACGCAACGCGAAGAACCUUACCUGGGCUAGAAUGCCUCUGACCGCCCCAGAGAUGGGGUUUCUUAGGGAAACCUAAGCAGAGUGCAAGGUGCUGCAUGGCUGUCGUCAGCUCGUGUCGUGAGAUGUUGGGUUAAGUCCCGCAACGAGCGCAACCCUUACCAACAGUUGCCAGCGGUUAAAGCCGGGAACUCUGUUGGGACUGCCGUUGACAAAACGGAGGAAGGUGGGGAUGACGUCAAGUCCUCAUGGCCUUUAUGUCCAGGGCUACACACGUGCUACAAUGGCCGGUACAAAGCGCUGCAAACUCGCGAGAGGGAGCCAAUCGCAAAAAGCCGGUCUCAGUUCGGAUUGGAGUCUGCAACUCGACUCCAUGAAGCUGGAAUCGCUAGUAAUCGCGCAUCAGCACGGCGCGGUGAAUACGUUCCCGGGUCUUGCACACACCGCCCGU
rnacentral:rRNA from 1 species